rnacentral:tmRNA from 1 species
UCAGAAACGGACACGCAUGUAGAGUCCCACGGGGAAGUGCUCUCGGACGCGGGUUCGACUCCCGCCGCCUCCACCA